rnacentral:misc_RNA from 1 species
GAAGUUGUUGAUGCAGUAUUGGCCAUCAAACAAGGUAAUGACCCAGUUGAUCUGCACAUGGUGGAAAUCAUGGAGAUGAUGCACAAGACUGACAUGGACACAGUAUUGGUGAAGGGAAUUGUGAUGGAUCAUGGAGCCCGGCAUCCUGACAUGAAGAAGAGAUCCGAGAAUUGUUACAUUCUCACUUGUAAUGUCUCAUUGGAGUAUGAGAAAACUGAAGUCAACUCUGGAUUUUUCUAUAAGAGUGCUGCAGAAAGAGAGAAGCUGGUUCAGGCUGAGAGAGAAUUCAUUGAUGAACGUGUGAGGAAAAUCAUAGCCCUGAAGAAGCAGGUCUGUGAAGGCAACAACAAGAGCUUCUAUGUUAUCAACCAGAAGGGCAUUGAUCCUAUGUCUUUGGACAUGUUGGCUAAAGAAGGAAUUGUUGGACUGAGAAGAGCAAAGAGGAGAAAUAUGGAGAGAUUGACUCUAGCCUGUGGAGGAACAGCAAUGAACUCGGUAGAUGACCUAACCCCUGACUGUCUGGGAUAUGCUGGUCUCAUCUAUGAAAGUGUUCUGGGAGAAGAUAAGUUUACUUUUAUCGAGCAAUGCAAGAACCCACAUUCAGUCUCUCUGUUGGUGAAAGGCCCCAACAAGCACACUGUGACCCAGAUCAAGGAUGCUAUCAGGGAUGGCCUUAGGGCUGUCAAAAAUGCCAUUGAGGACAAUUGUGUACUGCCCGGCGCCGGAGCAUUUGAGAUAGCUGCCUACCAGGAACUGAUGAAGUACAAAAAUGAAGUGAAGGGCAGAGCUAGACUAGGUGUCCAGGCAUAUGCUGAUGCUCUGCUGGUUAUCAUAAAGACCUUGGCACAUAACUCAGGUCUAGAUGCCCAGGAAUCUAUUGUCAAAUUACAAGAGGAAUACACAAGUCCAAAGCAAGCUGUUGGUCUGGAUAUCAAAACAGGGGAAGCUAUUUUACCAUUGGAUGUAGGAAUUCUAGACAAUUUUCGGGUCAAAAGACAACUUCUUCACUCUUGUACUGUUAUUGCCACAAAUCUUUUACUGGUGGAUGAAAUUAUGCGGGCAGGAAUGACCUCAUUGAAAGGAUAGCAUAGAACCUCAUCAUCUCUGUAGACAUUAAUUUAAUCUGAAAUCCUUUGAAAGUGAACAAAUCAUUUUUUUUCCCUGCCAUUAAAUAUUUGGAAG